UGUGAAUUAUUACAGGUCCGAAACCUUGAUGAGAUCGAGUACGUAGAAGAAGAUAGUAUUGUCAGAGCUAGCGCUGUCACAUGGGGCCUGGAUCGUGUCGAUCAAAGGAAUCUGCCAUUGGAUGGUGGAUUCUCUGUCAGCGGAACCGGUAGUGGUGCCAAUAUCUACGUCAUCGAUACUGGCAUCAACCCAACCCAUAAUGACUUUGGUGGACGUGCAGCCGUAGCUUACGAUGCCAGAG